rnacentral:sRNA from 1 species
UCCGGCUGGUCUGUGGGGUUUCGGGUUCGGGGUUUCCUGGUGGGCGUCAGGGGCAGGCGACAGAGUGGCGGCCGCUACGGCCCUGGAACGGGGCCAUGGAGAAGCUGCGGCGAGUCCUGAGCGGCCAGGACGACGAGGAGCAGGGCCUGACUGCGCAGGAUUCACAGAUUAAUCUCUUGAGGUCCUGGAUGCCUCAUCCCUUAGUUUCAACACCAGAUUGAAAUGGUUUGCCAUCUGCUUCGUAUGUGGCAUUUUCUUUUCUAUUCUUGGAACUGGAUUGCUGUGGCUUCCGGGAGGCAUAAAGCUUUUUGCAGUGUUUUAUACCCUCGGCAAUCUUGCUGCGUUAGCCAGUACAUGCUUUUUAAUGGGACCUGUGAAGCAACUGAAGAAAAUGUUUGAAGCAACAAGAUUGCUUGCAACAAUUGUUAUGCUCUUGUGUUUCGUAUUUACCCUGUGUGCUGCUCUUUGGUGGCAUAAGAAGGGACUGGCUGUGUUAUUCUGCAUAUUGCAGUUCUUGUCAAUGACCUGGUAUAGCCUGUCGUACAUCCCAUAUGCAAGGGAUGCAGUUAUUAAAUGCUGUUCUUCUCUCCUAAGUUGAAAAUCAGAAACUUGUGGAAAAGAGCACUUGAAUGUUGGUACUCUAUGUUUGGUGAAGUUUG